UGCGUAGGUGGUGAGGAAAGUUCGAUGUGAAAGCUCCGAGCUUAACUCGGAAAUGGCAUUGAAAACUACCUUACUAGAGGGUUGGAAGGGGGACUGGAAUUCUCGGUGUAGCAGUGAAAUGCGUAGAUAUCGAGAGGAACACCAGUGGCGAAGGCGAGUCCCUGGACAACUCCUGACACUGAGGCACGAAAGCUAGGGGAGCAAACA
rnacentral:rRNA from 1 species